GAUCACAGUGAUGACCCCAUGAAGUUCAAGUUGAACAGACCGGAAAGCAAGGUUUUCUCUAUGAGAUUGCUUUGCGUGUCGAUAACCCCGAUGGACUUAGUGAUC